UGGCCAGGCACAGUGGCUCACGCCUGUAAUCCCAGCACUUUGGGAGACCAAGGCAGGUCGAUCACUUGAGGUCAGGAGUUCAAGACCAGCCUGGUCAACAUAGCGAAACCUGGUCUCUACUAAAAAAAUACAAAAAUUAGCCAGGCAUGGUGGCAUGUGCCUGUAAUCACAGCUGCUUGGGAGGCUGAGGCACGGGAAUUGCUUGAACCUGGGAGGCAGAGGUUGCAGUGAGCCGAGAUCAUGCCACUGCACUCCAGCCUAGGCAACAGGGCGAGACUCUGUCUCAAAACAAACAAACAAACAAAAACAUGCACUAAUGCAAAGGCAGUGACCAAACAUAGGCCAUAGCGCUGCAGCUCUCCAGAGGACACUCACUCCUGGUGUGCAUUAAGUCCUAAGUUGCUGGACCAGGGGCCUGGGGGAGAGAGGGAAUCACUUAGGGGGCUGGGGAGGUGGUACUUAACAAGUGGUUACGGAAGUAUUUCUAUAUACAUAUAUAUAUAAAAUAUAUAUAUGGUUUUUUUUCCCAGGUAUGGUGGCUCAUGCCUAUAAUCCCAGCACUUUAGGAGGUCAAGGUGGGUGGAUCACCUGAGAUCAAGAGUUUGAGACCAGCCUGGAUAGCAUGGUGAAACGCCAUCUCUACUAAAA
rnacentral:lncRNA from 1 species